rnacentral:rRNA from 1 species
GGAUAUUGCGACAAUGGGCGAAAGCCUGACGCAGCAACGCCGCGUGCGGGAUGAAGGCCUUCGGGUUGUAAACCGCUUUUCUGUGGGAAGAGGAAGGACGGUACCACAGGAAUAAGUCUCGGCUAACUACGUGCCAGCAGCCGCGGUAAAACGUAGGAGGCGAGCGUUAUCCGGAUUUACUGGGUGUAAAGCGCGUGCAGGCGGGGUCGUAAGUCGUGCGUUGAAAGCUCCCGGCUCAACCGGGAGAGGACGUUACGAAACUGCGGUUCUGGAAGGCAGGUAGAGGCGUGUGGAAUUCCGGGUGUAGUGGUGAAAUGCGUAGAUAUCCGGAGGAACACCAGUGGCGAAGGCGACACGCUGGGCCUGACCUGACGCUAAGACGCGAAAGCAUGGGGAGCGAACGGGAUUAGAAACCCCGGUAGUCCAUGCCGUAAACGAUGCGUACUAGGUGUUGCGGUGUAGAAACUGCAGUGCCGAAGCCAACGUGAUAAGUACGCCACCUGGGGACUACGGCCGCAAGGCUAAAACUUGAAGGAAUUGACGGGGGCCCGCACAAGCAGCGGAGCGUGUGGUUUAAUUCGAGGCUACACGAAGAACCUUACCUGGGCUUGACAUCACGGUGGUAGCGAACCGAAAGGGGAGCGACCUUCGGGAGCCGUGACAGGUGCUGCAUGGCUGUCGUCAGCUCGUGUCGUGAGAUGUUCGGUUAAGUCCGGUAACGAGCGCAACCCUCGCCGUUAGUUACAAGUGUCUAACGGGACUGCCCGUUGAACGCGGGAGGAAGGUGGGGAUGACGUCAAGUCAGCAUGGCCUUUAUGUCCAGGGCUACACACACGCUACAAUGGCCGGUACAAUGGGUCGCCAACCCGCGAGGGGGAGCCAAUCCAAGAAAGCCGGUCUCAGUUCGGAUUGCAGGCUGCAACCCGCCUGCAUGAAGUCGGAGUUGCUAGUAACCGCAGGUCAGCUAUACUGCGGUGAUACGUUCCCGGGCCUUGUACACACCGCCCGUCACGUCACGGGAGCUGGUCAUGCCUGAAGUCGGUGGGCUAACC